rnacentral:rRNA from 1 species
AUCGUAACUCCUACGGGAGGCAGCAGUGGGGAAUUUUGGGCAAUGGGGGCAACCCUGAUCCAGCAAUGCCGCGUGAGUGAAGAAGGCCUUCGGGUUGUAAAGCUCUUUUGUCAGGGAAGAAACGGUAGUAGCUAAUAUCUAUUACUAAUGACGGUACCUGAAGAAUAAGCACCGGCUAACUACGUGCCAGCAGCCGCGGUAAUACGUAGGGUGCAAGCGUUAAUCGGAAUUACUGGGCGUAAAGCGUGCGCAGGCGGUUGUGUAAGUCAGAUGUGAAACCCCCCGGCUCAACCUGGGAAGUGCAUUUGAAACUGCACGGCUAGAGUGUGUAAGAGGGGGGUAGAAUUCCACGUGUAGCAGUGAAAUGCGUAGAUAUGUGGAGGAAUACCGAUGGCGAAGGCAGCCCCCUGGGAUAACACUGACGCUCAUGCACGAAAGCGUGGGGAGCAAACAGGAUUAGAAACCCGAGUAGUCCUAGAGC